AACUCUACAAUGCAGGCAACUGCGAUAGGGGAACAUCGAGUGAUACUCAUAUUGGGUGUCUGUCCCACCGUCUAAAAAACGGUGGUUAGCAAGGGCCGGGCAAGACCGGUGCCAGCCGCCGCGGUAAUACCGGCGGCUCGAGUGGUGGCCGAUAUUAUUGAGUCUAAAGGGUCCGUAGCCGGCUUUGCAAGUCUUUUGGGAAAUCCAGCGGCUUAACCGUUGGGCGUCCGGGAGAUACUACAUUGCUUGGGACUGGGAGAGGUAAGAGGUACUCAGGGGGUAGGAGUGAAAUCCUGUAAUCCUUUGGGGACCACCGGUGGCGAAGGCGUCUUACCAGAACAGGUCCGACGGUGAGGGACGAAAGCUAGGGGCACGAACCGGAUUAGAUACCCGGGUAGUCCUAGCCGUAAACGAUGCUCGAUAGGUGUCACAACAAUCGUGAAUUGUUGUGGUGCCGUAGGGAAGCCGUGAAGCGAGCCACUUGGGAAGUACGACCGCAAGGUUGAAACUUAA
rnacentral:rRNA from 1 species